CCUACGGGGGGCAGCAGUGAGGAAUAUUGGUCAAUGGGCGCGAGCCUGAACCAGCCAAGUAGCGUGAAGGAGGACUGCCCUACGGGUUGUAAACUUCUUUUUUAAAGGAAUAAAGUGAGGCACGUGUGCCUUUUUGUAUGUACUUUAUGAAUAAGAAUCGGCUAACUCCGUGCCCGCAGCCGCGGUAAUACGGAGGAUCCGAGCGUUAUCCGGAUUUAUUGGGUUUAAAGGGGGCGUAGACGGGCUUUUAAGUCAGUGGUGAAAGUGUGAGGCUCAACCAUAGAAUUGCCGUUGAUACUGGGGGGCUUGAGUAUGUUUGAGGCAGGCGGAAUGCGUGGUGUAGCGGUGAAAUGCUUAGAUAUCACGAAGAACCCCGAUUGCGAAGGCAGCUUGCCAAGCCACGACUGACGCUGAUGCACGAAAGUGUGGGGAUCAAACAGGAUUAGAUACCCGAGUAGUC
rnacentral:rRNA from 1 species